AGAAGAAGAAAAAGCAGUUCCUGCUUCCGGAGUGUUGCUCAUCUUAAAAAGUGUAGUCUGUGGGAAAAAAACCGAAAUAAAUAAACUCUUUUUCAUACAUAUACUCAGUUUUUUCAUUGAUAUUUAUCAUUACUGAACUAAAUAAAUUGCUGACCUGAGAGUGUGCUGGAAUAUAAAGCUUUAAUACAAUUAAAAAAAGGAGAAAGCUGUCCGUCAAAGUUGUUAAAGUCGUAUAUUUCCCUCCUGCAGAUAUGUGGGCAUGAAAGACAUCGCGAUGGAAGCUCAAAGGUAAGAGGAUUUUCUUUGUAUCACAGCUGUAGCUUUAAAUUUAACAGAAAUCUCUCUGCAGCAGUGUCGUGUCGUUCGCGAACGAUUCGUUCAAAAGAACCGAAAAAGUCAUAUUUAAACUGGAAAAAAAAUAUAUAUGGGUCUGAAAAAAAACCCGACAUAGUAUACUUUCAGAUUUCAGAUUUUAGAGUGAAAAAAACAUCAAUUUUUAGGAUAAAAAAACAUGCCAGAGUGUAGUCUGAUCAAAUGCCAUAGUAUAGGAUGUGAAAAAUGUCAUAUAUAAGCGGGGGGGGGGGGUAUCAUAUUUUAGUCCGAAAAAAAACAACAUAGUAUAUUAUGAUGAAAAUUCAGAUUUUCGGAUGAAUUCUUUUUUUAAAAUGUUAGGAUAAAAAAACAUGCCAGAGUAUUGUCUGAUCAAAAUUCCAUGCUGAAAGAUGUUGAAAAUGUCAUAUUUUGGCCUGAAAAAAAAAAUCUUAUUUUAUUCUGAAAAAAAAACCGACAUAGUAUACUAUGACAAAAAUUUCAGAUUUUAAAAUGAAAAAAAAAAGAUUAUGUUUUUAGGAUGAAAAAACAUGCCAUAGCAUUGUCUGAUGUCAUAAAUGCCAUAGUAAAGGAUGUCAAAUAUGUCAUAUUUUGGCCCGUGAAAAAAAGGUUUCAUAUUUUAGUCAUAGUAUACUAUGAUGAAAAUUUCAGAUUUUAGGGUGGAAAAAAAAAUUCCGUUUUUAGGAUGAAAAAACAUGCCAUAGUAUUGUCUUAUCAAGAUGACAUGGUAAAAGAUGUUGAAAAUGUCAUAUUUUGGCCCGAAAAAAAAGUUUCAUUAUUAAGUCUAAAAAAAAAAACGACAUAGUAUACUAUGACAAAAUUUCAGAAUUUAGAGUGAAAAAAAAUUCAGUUUUUAGGAUGAAAAAAGAUGUUAUAGUGUGGUCUGAUCAAAAUGCCAAAGUCUAAGAUUUCAAAAAUGUCAUUUUUUAACAGAAAAAAAAAAUCUUAUUCUAGUCCAAAAAAAAAAAGACAUAGUAUACUAUGAUGAAAAUUCUGAUUUUCGGGUGGAAAAAAAAUACAAAUAUUAGGAUAAAAAAACAUGCCAUAAUAUUGUCUUAUCAAGAUGCCAUGGUAAAAGAUGUUGAAAAUGUCAUAUUUUGGCCCGAAAAAAAGUUUCAUAUUUUAGUCUGAAAAAAAAAAUCAGUUUUUAGGAUGAAAAAACAUGCCAUAGUAUUGUCUUAUCAAGAUGCCAUGGUAAAAGAUGUUGAAAAUGUCAUAUUUUGGCCCGGAAAAAAAGUUUCAUAUUUUAGUCACGACAUAGUAUACUAUGACAAAGUUUCAGAAUUUAGAGUGAAAAAAAAAUUCAGUUUUUAGGAUGAAAAAAGAUGUAAUGGUGUUGUCUGAUCAAAAUGCCAUAGUCUAAGAUGUCAAAAAUGUCAUAUUUUAACGGAAAAAAAAGUUUCAUAUUUUAGUCUGAAAAAAAAAAGACAUAGUAUACUAUGAUGAAAAUUCUGAUUUUCAGGUGGAAAAAAAAUACAAAUUUUAGGAUAAAAAAACAUGCCAUAGUAUUGUCUUAUCAAGAUGCCAUGGUAAAAGAUGUUGAAAAUGUCAUAUUUUGGCCCGAAAAAAAAGUUACAUAUUUUAGUCUGAAAAAAAAAAUGACAUGAUGAAAUUUCAGAAUUUAGAGUGAAAAAAAAAAUCUGUUUUUAGGAUGAAAAAAGAUGUUAUAGUGUGGUCUGAUCAAAAUGCCAUAGUAAGGGAUGUUAAAAAAGUCAUAUUUAACCAGGAAAAAAAAGUUUCAUAUUUUAGUCCAAAAAAAAAACACGACAUAGUAAACUAUGACAAAAUUUCAGAUUUUAGAGUGAAAAAAAAAAUCAGUUUUCAGGAUGAAAAAACAUGCCAUAGUAUUGUCUUAUCAAGAUGCCAUGGUAAAAGAUGUUGAAAAUGUCAUAUUUUGGCCCGAAAAAAAAGUUUCAUAUUUUAGUCUGAAAAAAAAAUGACAUAGUAUACUAUGACAAAGUUUCAGAAUUUAGAGUGAAAAAAAAAUUCAGUUUUUAGGAUGAAAAAAGAUGUAAUGGUGUUGUCUGAUCAAAAUGCCAUAGUAUAGGAUGUCAAAAAUGUCAUAUUUUAAGCGGAAAAAUGAGAAAUUCAUAUUUUGGUCCGAAAAAAAACGACAUAGUAUACUAUGUUGAAAAUUCCAGAUUUCAGGCUGAAAAAAAAAAUUCUAAUU